CGUUUCAACCAACUCAGCGGCCAAUGAAGAACGGUUUUCUUGUUCCUGAGUUCACCUGUAUUAAUGUGCACACACACAUACACACACACACACACACACACACACACUGGCAGUUUCCAUGAUAACAAGGAUCUUGGCGUGGGAGCAACAACAAACCUGCAGUCUGUAGAAACAACUCUGAAAACAGCCUAUCUGAAUCAUUUGAAGAUGAUGCGAUUGCUGUUCCUGUGUCUGCUGCUGCUGCUGCCAGCUGCUGCGGCUGUUUCAGAAGAUGUGGAGGGAUCAGCUACUGGCGAUGUCACUAAUGAUGACGAGGACUAUGGCAGGAAUGGCGAAAUUGGUGGGCUUCCUCCCACCUCAACUGCAGAUAAGGCCACAGGCGUCGGUGAAAACCAGUUAAUGCUGACUGUCAUCAUUGCAGCCGUGGCAGUUGUGGCUCUUUCCAUCGCAGCAAUAGUCACCAUAUUCCUAGUAAGACGCAAAAUGCACAAUCGGCAGCAAGGGAUCUACUCGGUGCCUACAGAACAGGACCAGAAAGGGGCCGUCUAA
rnacentral:lncRNA from 1 species